GAGGGAAACCGAGUCUUAAUUGGGCGUUAAGUUGCAGGGUAUAGACCCGAAACCCGGUGAUCUAGCCAUGGGCAGGUUGAAGGUUGGGUAACACUAACUGGAGGACCGAACCGACUAAUGUUGAAAAAUUAGCGGAUGACCUGUGGCUGGGGGUGAAAGGCCAAUCAAACCGGGAGAUAGCUGGUUCUCCCCGAAAGCUAUUUAGGUAGCGCCUCGUGAAUUCAUCUCCGGGGGUAGAGCACUGUUUCGGCUAGGGGGCCAUCCCGGCUUACCAACCCGAUGCAAACUGCGAAUACCGGAGAAUGUUAUCACGGGAGACACACGGCGGGUGCUAACGUCCGUCGUGAAGAGGGAAACAACCCAGACCGCCAGCUAAGGUCCCAAAGUCAUGGUUAAGUGGGAAACGAUGUGGGAAGGCCCAGACAGCCAGGAUGUUGGCUUAGAAGCAGCCAUCAUUUAAAGAAAGCGUAAUAGCUCACUGGUCGAGUCGGCCUGCGCGGAAGAUGUAACGGGGCUAAACCAUGCACCGAAGCUGCGGCAGCGACACUCAGGUGUUGUUGGGUAGGGGAGCGUUCUGUAAGCCUGCGAAGGUGGCCUGUGAGGGUUGCUGGAGGUAUCAGAAGUGCGAAUGCUGACAUAAGUAACGAUAAAGCGGGUGAAAAGCCCGCUCGCCGGAAGACCAAGGGUUCCUGUCCAACGUUAAUCGGGGCAGGGUGAGUCGACCCCUAAGGCGAGGCCGAAAGGCGUAGUCGAUGGGAAACGGGUUAAUAUUCCCGUACUUGGUGUUACUGCGAAGGGGGGACGGAGAAGGCUAUGUUGGCCGGGCGACGGUUGUCCCGGUUUAAGCGUGUAGGUGUGUGUUCCAGGUAAAUCCGGUUCACUUUAACACUGAGGCGUGAUGACGAGGCACUACGGUGCUGAAGCAACAAAUGCCCUGCUUCCAGGAAAAGCCUCUAAGCAUCAGGUAACAUCAAAUCGUACCCCAAACCGACACAGGUGGUCAGGUAGAGAAUACCAAGGCGCUUGAGAGAACUCGGGUGAAGGAACUAGGCAAAAUGGUGCCGUAACUUCGGGAGAAGGCACGCUGACACGUAGGUGAAGUGAUUUACUCAUGGAGCUGAAGUCAGUCGAAGAUACCAGCUGGCUGCAACUGUUUAUUAAAAACACAGCACUGUGCAAACACGAAAGUGGACGUAUACGGUGUGACGCCUGCCCGGUGCCGGAAGGUUAAUUGAUGGGGUCAGCGCAAGCGAAGCUCCUGAUCGAAGCCCCGGUAAACGGCGGCCGUAACUAUAACGGUCCUAAGGUAGCGAAAUUCCUUGUCGGGUAAGUUCCGACCUGCACGAAUGGCGUAAUGAUGGCCAGGCUGUCUCCACCCGAGACUCAGUGAAAUUGAACUCGCUGUGAAGAUGCAGUGUACCCGCGGCAAGACGGAAAGACCCCGUGAACCUUUACUAUAGCUUGACACUGAACAUUGAGCCUUGAUGUGUAGGAUAGGUGGGAGGCUUUGAAGUGUGG
rnacentral:rRNA from 1 species